AGCCUCCAUGAAGAUCCAGCUAGUUGGCCACAAGAGAUCGAGUCUUUCAGCUGGGUUUUUUUUUGGUAGAAAACAGACCUUUUGUUAAUUUAGAACGAGACUUUCUGCCUAGCAAACGCAAAGGAAAGCUAGCAUUAAAAUAAGGGGUUAAUAACCUAGAAAAUCACACGAACAACACUGCAAUCCACAAAGCCUGAGCUGGAAGCCUAAGUUCCCUAUAAAAUGCAUGGAGAUGUAGCCUGUAGGGAUGUUGCUUGCUUAUGUUUAUACAGGAAUGUACUGAAAUGUACCUAGGACUUUGAAGUGAAGCAAAAAGCAAUACUUAGUCAAUACUGACAAAGAAAAAGGGGAACAAACACAUUGCAGUGGAGCCAUUCAUGUUAACCUUUUCAAUACAAAUC